rnacentral:rRNA from 1 species
UACGUAGGGUGCAAGCGUUGUCCGGAAUUAUUGGGCGUAAAGAGCUCGUAGGCGGUUUGUCGCGUCUGCUGUGAAAACCUGCAGCUUAACUGUGGGCUUGCGGUGGAUACGGGCAGACUUGAGUUCGGUAGGGGAGACUGGAAUUCCUGGUGUAGCGGUGAAAUGCGCAGAUAUCAGGAGGAACACCGGUGGCGAAGGCGGGUCUCUGGGCCAUAACUGACGCUGAGAAGCGAAAGCAUGGGGAGCGAACAGG